GAUUCGUGAGAUCAAUGAAGGCCGUUACGAGUUUAAUGUUGUCCUUUAUCCUAAUGUUACAAACACAAUGAAGGACAUGGUAUUGGAAAUAGUAUUGUGAUAGAAUACAACAAAGAAUCAGUACCAGUUAUUGUUUUAGAAAAUUUAAUUAGUAAAAUAAAUUAUAACUCAGAAGAUUCAAAGCAUUUUAACAUAGAAGAAGGAUUGUACAGCAUUGAUUGUUUUAUUAAUGAGAGGUACAUCAAGAGUUGAAUUGGAAUGCAAUCAGAAACUUCUGAACAUGAGUGAUGAAUGAGAAUAUUGCACGAUAUCAAGGACACAAAACAGCUUACGUUGUAUUUGUACGGCAUUACACCAGAGGGUACUUUACAGAAAUAAUACAACAGAAAUUCUAAUUAAUGUUUUGUAUAAGCCAACAAUUAAGAGUUUUCCUGGUAAAUGGCGAAGAUGUGAAGACUUUAACUGUCAAUAAAUCUGAUGUACUAAACUUAACAUGCGAGGG